UACACGACCGUACCGCAAACCGACACUGGUGCGCGAGAUGAGUAUUCUAAGGCGCUUGAGAGAACUCAGGAGAAGGAACUCGGCAAAUUGACACCGUAACUUCGGAAGAAGGUGUGCCUUUAGUAGGUGAAGGGAUUUACUCCUGGAGCCCAAUGAGGUUGCAAAAAAUCGGUGGCUGCGACUGUUUAUUAAAAACACAGCACUCUGCAAACACGAAAGUGGACGUAUAGGGUGUGACGCCUGCCCGGUGCUGGAAGAUUAAAUGAUGGGGUGCAAGCUCUUGAUUGAAGUCCCAGUAAACGGCGGCCGUAACAAUAACGGUCCUAAGGUAGCGAAAUUCCUUGUCGGGUAAGUUCCGACCUGCACGAAUGGCGUAACGAUGGCCACACUGUCUCCUCCUGAGACUCAGCGAAGUUGAAAUGUUUGUGAUGAUGCAAUCUCCCCGCGGAAAGACGGAAAGACCCCAUGAACCUUUACUGUAGCUUUGUAUUGGACUUUGAACAGAUCUGUGUAGGAUAGGUGGGAGGCUUUGAAGCAGGGUCGCUAGAUCUUGUGGAGCCAACGUUGAAAUACCACCCUGGUGUGUUUGAGGUUCUAACCUAGGCCCGUAAUCCGGGUUGGGGACAGUGCAUGGUAGGCAGUUUGACUGGGGCGGUCUCCUCCCAAAGUGUAACGGAGGAGUUCGUAGGUACGCUAGUUACGGUCGGACAUCGUGACGAUAGUGCAAUGGCAUAAGCGUGCUUAACUGCGAGACUGACAAGUCGAGCAGAUGCGAAAGCAGGACAUAGUGAUCCGGUGGUUCUGUAUGGAAGGGCCAUCGCUCAACGGAUAAAAGGUACUCUGGGGAUAACAGGCUGAUACCGCCCAAGAGUUCAUAUCGACGGCGGUGUUUGGCACCUCGAUGUCGGCUCAUCUCAUCCUGGGGCUGUAGCCGGUCCCAAGGGUAUGGCUGUUCGCCAUUUAAAGAGGUACGUGAGCUGGGUUUAAAACGUCGUGAGACAGUUUGGUCCCUAUCUUCCGUGGGCGCUGCAGAUUUGAGGAAGCCUGCUCCUAGUACGAGAGGACCGGAGUGGACGCACCUCUGGUGUAUCGGUUGUCACGCCAGUGGCAUUGCCGAGUAGCUAUGUGCGGAAGAGAUAACCGCUGAAAGCAUCUAAGCGGGAAACUCGUUUCAAGAUGAGAUCUGCCGGGGCCUUGAGCCCCCUGAAGAGUCGUUCAAGACCAGGACGUUGAUAGGUCGGGUGUGGAAGCGCAGUUAUGCGUUAAGCUAACCGAUACUAAUUGCUCGUGCGGCUUGACCCC
rnacentral:rRNA from 1 species